UUGAAGGAUAAGAAUGUCUUGUGUGUUUGGCAAGUUUACAAGCGUCACAAACUAACAAUUCUUAUUUGCAUUGUCUAAACAAAACGGGAUAUAACCUUUCUAAGGUUGGAAAAGAGGGAUGUCCUAAUCUCUUAUGCCAUUGAAUGAUUUCUUAAUCGACUCUUAUUGAAUUUCCUACCAAGGCUUUAGGGUUUGAGAAACCAUUAUUGUCAUCUAGCAAAUACAAGCUAUCUUGCAAUCUACUACUAUCAAUCGUUCUCUCUAUUUUCAGUUCCUGAAAUACACAAUGGGUAGAAAAAAAAUUCAAUUUUACAAUUAAGGGCUUUAGUAAUAGAGUAAACAGAUAAAACGUUAAUAUGAAAACUGAGCACAUACAAAAUUGAAGUAAGAUUUAUAGUGGGAGUACAUUCAAUAGAAACUGCUAUAGAGAUAUUGGCUAAGGAUCCAUCCGCUAUACAGACUUUUUCUUUUGUUGAAUAUGG
rnacentral:misc_RNA from 1 species